CUUUCACAUGUUGGGACAGUUCAAAUGUGUCCAAAAUGGUAAAAAGUUUUUUUUGAAGAGCUGCAUCAUUAGAAGAGCUGCAUCAUCGUCAGAUAAGGGUGGUGUGCAUGACAAUGGAUGGUCAUGCAACAAAUAUCAGUAUGUGCACCCAACUUGGGUGCGAUUUAAAAGCAGACCCCUGUAAGCCCUUGAAGACCCAUUUCCCACAUCCAGUAACCCAUGACAAUGUUUUUGUUAUGAUGGACGCUUGCCACAUGCUGAAGCUGACACGCAAUAUGUUGCAGGUACACGCUCAUUAUUGCUUAUUUUCUCUGACUGUUCUGCUUUUUAUACAUUUUAAUUUUAUUUACAUAAUUCUGCAGAAUAUGGUGCUUUACAGUUGACGUGUGCAGUGAAAAAGAAUCUGAUUCUGCAGGCAUACAGCCCAAUUAGAAGCAUAACUGGCAGUAUCAAUUUGAAGUACAUAGUUCAGCUGAACAAUGUCCAAAAGAAAAGUGGACUACAUGCUGCCCAUCGAGUCACAGAUAAGCAUGUGAAUUUUGCUAAUCAGAAGAUGAAGGCAUGUUUGCAUGAUGAUUUAUGUAUAGAGGGCCGCAAUAGAAAUGGGCUCUAGUGCUUUAUUGUAUUUUUUAAUGUGCUCUUCAUUUCUCCUUAUAAACUCAAUCAAGGUCUCCCUGGCUGCUCAGACUUUGAGUAACUCUGUGGCAGUGGCGCUCCACACCUUGCAGGACGUGGGCUAUGCAGAGUUCAAAGAUUGUGAGGCUACUUCUGAAUUAAUUAAGGUUCCUCUCUGUCAUGGGCUUCGUCAUAAACAUUGACACGUUGAUGUCGAUGGUUCCUGUGCUGCUCGAAGGACAGCGAUAUGUCCUGACCUACAGAUUCAGCCAGGACCAUUUGGAACUUCUCUUUAACUCCAUCAGAGCAUCCGGUGGCGCUGGAAUAACAACCCAGUUCAAAUAGAUCUUCAGAAAGCUGAUGGCCCAGUGUGGAGUUGUUAAACCAUGCAGAGGCAAUGGGACUGCACAGGAUGAGACAGAGUCCCUAUCAGCGGUCAUCGACAACAAGCCUGUCAGCUGUAGAUAUGUCCUCUCUAGCAGGAGGAGAAGAUCUUCCAUCCCCAUUUGCUGACAUUCCUGCCCUAGUACAUGACCACCACAGCAACCUUCCCGUCUGCUAUGAUGGUCUUGUGGACAAUGCUCUCGUGUACAUUUCAGGUGAAGGCUGACUGAAAGUCGAUUUUGCCUAUAACCGAUAGUGCCAAUAGUCAACUCUGUGAGAGAACACUCUUGACAGUCCAAAAAAAGAAAUGUUUCCUUAAUUUCCCCACGCAUAUUAUUGUAAGUUAUGAUAUUAUACUAACCCAAAUUUCAGGAUUUGUUGUGAGACGGGCUCUGAAGAAGCUGUCCUGUGAUGUCUGCCGUGCCAGCCUGGUGACAGACGCUGCAUCUGCCAUCAAGGACCAGAGCUACCACCUGCUGUGUCUAAGAAACAAUGGAGGCCUGGUGAUUCCAUCAGAGUGCACAGUGAGGGUCGUCAGGGCAGCAGGGUGGGUCAUUCGCCAGGCAUCAGCUAGUUUCAGACGAUCACAGCCCUUCAAACUGCUAGAGGUCUUGUACAUUGUACGGAAGAGGAUCGGGUCAGAGGAUGUGUUUGUGCUCAGGGAGCACAUCGGCGACACGCAGUGUGGCAUAGACAGCCAUCACCAUACGUUGCUAACACUAGUUGUCUCUUUGUUUUUUAAGUUAAGGCUACACCACAUCGCUAAAAUGACUACACUAAGCUUACAGAGCAACAACAUUCGACAGAAGCUCAAUAAAACAGUCCUUUUCAAAGGGCAUUAGCCCAAUGUUACGCCCCUGGUGGGUCUCUCUGUGGGCCCGCCCAUUUUUGCUGCCUCUCUCUCUCUCCACAUUUAGUUCUCUGCAAACCUAUGGUGACAUCAUGCCUUCAAUGUGUCUUAAACAGCCACAAAAGUUGCACAUAUUAUAAUCAUAUUUCAUCGUAUCUGUCUAAAUGCAUACUUGACUGUAGAUAGAUUUGAGUGAAGUUACCAACACAAUAGAUUGCUGAGUUUUAGUAGCCCAAAUAUUGAUUUAACAUAAAUAACAUGAAUACGUUGUGCAUGUGUGUAUUUACUUCACCUUUCUGUUCUGUUUAAUGUUCAUUUCAUAUGAAAACACAUGGUUAUAAUUACAUACAUCUUUGUACAGGGUGGGGAUUUCAACGUGCAGCCUUUCUUGAUGUAUAUUUGUAAAGGGAAAUAUUGUACCUAUUUUAGAACAUUAUUCUAUUUUUCUUAGAACCUAACAACUAUUCAUAAGUAUAUACUGUCAUACCUACAACUCUGACGUUUAUAAGAAAACCAACCGGUUUGAAAAUCGGUUGAAAAUUGA